AUUGAACGCUGGCGGCAUGCUUUACACAUGCAAGUCGAACGGCAGCACGGGUGCUUGCACCUGGUGGCGAGUGGCGGACGGGUGAGUAAUGCAUCGGAACGUGUCCUAAAGUGGGGGAUAACGCAUCGAAAGAUGUGCUAAUACCGCAUAAUCUCUGAGGAGAAAAGUAGGGGAGUCGAAAGACCUUAUGCUUUUGGUAGCGGCCGAUGUCUGAUUAGCUAGUUGGUAAGGUAAUGGCUUACCAAGGCGACGAUCAGUAGUUGGUCUGAGAGGACGACCAGCCACACUGGGACUGAGACACGGUCCCGACUCCUACGGGGGGCGAGCAGUGAGGAAUAUUCGGCAAUGGGGGCAACCCUGACCGAGCAACGCCGCGUGGAGGAUGACGGUUUUCGGAUUGUAAACUCCUUUUCUCAGGGAAGAGCGGAGGACGGUACCUGGGGAAUAAGUCACGGCUAACUACGUG
rnacentral:rRNA from 1 species